rnacentral:rRNA from 1 species
ACGGGGUGCAGCAGGCGCGAAACCUUCGCAAUAGGCGAAUGCCUGACGAGGUUAUUCCGAGUGUUCCCUGCUAAAGGGAUCUUUUGCCAGCUCUAAAAAUGGUGCAGAAUAAGGGGUGGGCAAGUCUGGUGUCAGCCGCCGCGGUAAUACCAGCACCCCGAGUGGUCGGGACGAUUAUUGGGCCUAAAGCAUCCGUAGCUUGUUCUGCAAGUCUUCCGUUAAAUCCACCUGCUCAACAGAUGGGCUGCGGGAGAUACUACAGGGCUAGGAGGCGGGAGAGGCGAGCGGUACUCAGUGGGUAGGGGUAAAAUCCUCUGAUCCACUGAAGACCACCAGUGGCGAAGGCGGCUUGCCAGAACGCGCUCGACGGUGAGGGAUGAAAGCUGGGGGAGCAAACCGGAUUAGAUACCCGGGUAGUCCCAGCUGUAAACGAUGCAGACUCGGUGAUGGGUUGGCUUUGCGCCAACCCAGUGCCGCAGGGAAGCCGUUAAGUCUGCCGCCUGGGGAGUACGGUCGCAAGACUGAGACU